CGUAGGGUGCAAGCGUUAAUCGGAAUUACUGGGCGUAAAGCGUGCGCAGGCGGUUAUGUAAGACAGAUGUGAAAUCCCCGGGCUCAACCUGGGAACUGCAUUUGUGACUGCAUAGCUAGAGUACGGUAGAGGGGGAUGGAAUUCCGCGUGUAGCAGUGAAAUGCGUAGAUAUGCGGAGGAACACCGAUGGCGAAGGCAAUCCCCUGGACCUGUACUGACGCUCAUGCACGAAAGCGUGGGGAGCAAACAGGAUUAGAUACCCUGGUAGUCCGCGCCCUAACCGAUGUCAACUGGUUGUUGGGUCUUCACUGACUCAGUAACGAAGCUAACGCGUGAAGUUGACCGCCUGGGGAGUACGGCCGCAAGGUUG
rnacentral:rRNA from 1 species